UACGUAGGUGGCAAGCGUUGUCCGGAAUUAUUGGGCGUAAAGCGCGCGCAGGCGGUUCCUUAAGUCUGAUGUGAAAGCCCCCGGCUCUACCGGGGAGGGUCAUUGGAAACUGGGGAACUUGAGUGCAGAAGAGAAGAGCGGAAUUCCACGUGUAGCGGUGAAAUGCGUAGAGAUGUGGAGGAACACCAGUGGCGAAGGCGGCUCUUUGGUCUGUAACUGACGCUGAGGCGCGAAAGCGUGGGGAGCAAACAGG
rnacentral:rRNA from 1 species